GUAACACAUCGGAACAUACCCAGUCGUGGGGGAUAACACUUCGAAAGAAGUGCUAAUACCGCAUACGUCCUGAGGGAGAAAGCGGGGGAUCUUCGGACCUCGCGCGAUUGGAGUGGCCGAUGUCAGAUUAGCUAGUUGGUGGGGUAAAGGCCUACCAAGGCGACGAUCUGUAGUUGGUCUGAGAGGACGACCAGCCACACUGGGACUGAGACACGGCCCAGACUCCUACAGGAGGCAGCAGUGGGGAAUUUUGGACAAUGGGGGCAACCCUGAUCCAGCCAUUCCGCGUGAGUGAAGAAGGCCUUCGGGUUGUAAAGCUCUUUCGGCAGGAACGAAACGGCACGCUCUAACAUAGCGUGUUAAUGACGGUACCUGAAGAAGAAGCACCGGCUAACUACGUGCCAGCAGCCGCGGUAAUACGUAGGGUGCGAGCGUUAAUCGGAAUUACUGGGCGUAAAGCGUGCGCAGGCGGUUGUGUAAGACAGGUGUGAAAUCCCCGGGCUUAACCUGGGAACUGCGCUUGUGACUGCACGGCUAGAGUAUGGCAGAGGGGGGUGGAAUUCCACGUGUAGCAGUGAAAUGCGUAGAGAUGUGGAGGAACACCGAUGGCGAAGGCAGCCCCCUGGGCCAAUACUGACGCUCAUGCA
rnacentral:rRNA from 1 species